rnacentral:rRNA from 1 species
GGAUCAUUAUCGUGGGGCUUCGGCCCCGUCGAGAUAACACCCUUGCCUUUAUGAGUACCUUGGUUCCCUCCCCCGACCUCCGGGGAGCGGGAGGGACCUCUUUGUUUCCCCGCGUAGCUCGCUACCGGGGACCGCAAAACACGCUGUAAUCACCUGUAACCGUCUGAUAAAACAAACAAAAAAUCAAAACUUUCAACAACGGAUCUUUUGGUUCUGGCAUCGAUGAAGAACGCAGCGAAAUGCGAUAAGUAGUGUGAAUUGCAGAAUUCAGUGAAUCAUCGAAUCUUUGAACGCACAUUGCGCCCUUUGGUAUUCCUUAGGGCAUGCCUGUUCGAGCGUCAUCUAAACCUUCAAGCCCUGCUUGGUGUUGGGUGCCUGUCCCGCCUCCGCGCGUGGACUCACCUCAAAUCCAUUGGCGGCCCCCGCGUCGGCCACGAGCGCAGCAGAAACGCGAACUCGUGAGCCCGUCCGGGCGGCUCCCAGAAGCUAACCCCCAAUUUUGACCUCGGAUCAGGUAGGGAUACCCGCUGAACUUAAGCAUAUCAAUAAGCGGAGGAAAAGAAACCAACAGGGAUUGCCCUAGUAACGGCGAGUGAAGCGGCAAGAGCUCAAAUUUGAAAUCUGGCCCCCUGCGGGGUCCGAGUUGUAAUUUGCAGAGGGUGCUUUGGCGUUGGCUGUGGUCUAAGUUCCUUGGAACAGGACGUCGCAGAGGGUGAGAAUCCCGUAUGUGGCCGCCAGCCUCCGCCGUGUAAAGCCCCUUCGACGAGUCGAGUUGUUUGGGAAUGCAGCUCUAAAUGGGAGGUAAAUUUCUUCUAAAGCUAAAUACUGGCCAGAGACCGAUAGCGCACAAGUAGAGUGAUCGAAAGAUGAAAAGCACUUUGGAAAGAGAGUCAAAAAGCACGUGAAAUUGUUGAAAGGGAAGCGCUUGCAGCCAGACUUGCCUGUAGUUGCUCAUCCGGGCUCUUGCCCGGUGCACUCUUCUAUAGGCAGGCCAGCAUCAGUCCGGGCGGUCGGAUAAAUGCCUGCUAAAUGUACCUCUCUUCGGGGAGGACUUAUAGGGCAGGCGGCAUACGACCAGCCUGGACUGAGGUCCGCGCAUCUGCUAG